rnacentral:rRNA from 1 species
UAAUUGAAGAGUUUGAUCAUGGCUCAGAUUGAACGCUGGCGGCAGGCCUAACACAUGCAAGUCGAGCGGCAGCACAGAGGAACUUGUUCCUUGGGUGGCGAGCGGCGGACGGGUGAGUAAUGCCUGGGAAAUUGCCCGGUAGAGGGGGGAUAACCAUUGGAAACGAUGGCUAAUACCGCAUAACCUCGCAA